AGUGGAAUGACUAUUGUCAAAAGAUAAAAAAAUUAAAGAUUCUUGAAUCUAGACUAAAGUAAGAAAAGAAUUGACAAAAAUGAAGAAGGCCUCAUUCUUGCAUCUAUAUAUACUAUCCAUUUAAGAACUACAUGGCAACUUUCUACAAGACUUCUAACAUGUAUUAAUUUUGUAAGCCACAUGUCUUAACUUGUAAGACAAGUUUUUUAUGUGUAUACUAUAUAGAUAGGUUGUUCUACAAGCUAUCCUCACAUGACAUAUGGCUAAAUUAUUGACUAAGUUUCUAACCAAAAAAUCAAUUGUAAAUACAUGUAAAAUCAAAAUUGUGUGUGAAGCUUCUAAGAAGCUUUUUCAGAAGAUAUUAUGAAAUUAAUU
rnacentral:lncRNA from 1 species